rnacentral:rRNA from 1 species
GGUUCACUUUAACACUGAGGCGUGAUGACGAGGCACCACGGUGCUGAAGCAACAAAUGCCCUGCUUCCAGGAAAAGCCUCUAAGCAUCAGGUAACAUCAAAUCGUACCCCAAACCGACACAGGUGGUCAGGUAGAGAAUACCAAGGCGCUUGAGAGAACUCGGGUGAAGGAACUAGGCAAAAUGGUGCCGUAACUUCGGGAGAAGGCACGCUGACACGUAGGUGAAGUGAUUUACUCAUGGAGCUGAAGUCAGUCGAAGAUACCAGCUGGCUGCAACUGUUUAUUAAAAACACAGCACUGUGCAAACACGAAAGUGGACGUAUACGGUGUGACGCCUGCCCGGUGCCGGAAGGUUAAUUGAUGGGGUCAGCGCAAGCGAAGCUCCUGAUCGAAGCCCCGGUAAACGGCGGCCGUAACUAUAACGGUCCUAAGGUAGCGAAAUUCCUUGUCGGGUAAGUUCCGACCUGCACGAAUGGCGUAAUGAUGGCCAGGCUGUCUCCACCCGAGACUCAGUGAAAUUGAACUCGCUGUGAAGAUGCAGUGUACCCGCGGCAAGACGGAAAGACCCCGUGAACCUUUACUAUAGCUUGACACUGAACAUUGAGCCUUGAUGUGUAGGAUAGGUGGGAGGCUUUGAAGCGUGGACGCCAGUCUGCGUGGAGCCGACCUUGAAAUACCACCCUUUAAUGUUUGAUGUUCUAACGUGGACCCGUAAUCCGGGUUGCGGACAGUGUCUGGUGGGUAGUUUGACUGGGGCGGUCUCCUCCUAAAGAGUAACGGAGGAGCACGAAGGUUGGCUAAUCCUGGUCGGACAUCAGGAGGUUAGUGCAAUGGCAUAAGCCAGCUUGACUGCGAGCGUGACGGCGCGAGCAGGUGCGAAAGCAGGUCAUAGUGAUCCGGUGGUUCUGAAUGGAAGGGCCAUCGCUCAACGGAUAAAAGGUACUCCGGGGAUAACAGGCUGAUACCGCCCAAGAGUUCAUAUCGACGGCGGUGUUUGGCACCUCGAUGUCGGCUCAUCACAUCCUGGGGCUGAAGUAGGUCCCAAGGGUAUGGCUGUUCGCCAUUUAAAGUGGUACGCGAGCUGGGUUUAGAACGUCGUGAGACAGUUCGGUCCCUAUCUGCCGUGGGCGCUGGAAGACUGAGGGGGGCUGCUCCUAGUACGAGAGGACCGGAGUGGACGCAUCACUGGUGUUCGGGUUGUCAUGCCAAUGGCACUGCCCGGUAGCUAAAUGCGGAAAAGAUAAGUGCUGAAAGCAUCUAAGCACGAAACUUGCCCCGAGAUGAGUCUUCCCUGAGACUUUGAGUCUCCUGAAGGAACGUUAAAGACGAUGACGUUGAUAGGCCGGGUGUGUAAGCGCAGCGAUGCGUUGAGCUAACCGGUACUAAUGAACCGUGAGGCUUAACCUU